UUAUAUUGAAUGAACACUUGAGCAAUAGAAAGUAAAGAGAAAAUUCCUUUUUCUGUAAAUUUAACUUUAGAUGACUUCUUUCUCUCUAUUUACCCAAAGCAGGAUAUCCAUCCCUCCCGAGCCUCAUAUUCCCUCAACCUCAAAGAAACUGGAAUAAAUAUUGAUAGAAAAAGAACAAAGGAACAAAGGUUUCUAUGUCAAGUCUUAAAAUGUUUCCCUUGAAAUAAUAACAAGAGCACUUGUAUGAGCACACUGUAGAUGAAUCCAAUGUGCCAGGUCAUGCUUUGGAAGGCUGAGUGUGAGACCAGUAAGAAACCCAUAACUCUCUGUUCUACCCAGUGGUUACCUGACUCUGUGUUUAUGUGCAUAAUGUUAGGUUCUUACAUUCUCAUCAGUAGCCAGCAUGCCUGUUAUUCUGUUUAUACUUAGAGUGAUACCAGAAGUAUCACUUUUCUGUUGAUUAAUUUAUAUUGUUUAAUUCUGUAGCAUGUUGCUAUGCUCCCUGUCCCUCUUAAUUACUUAUUGUGACAAUUAACCGACCAAAAACAGUUUCUCUCACAAAGAUUUCCAGAGGAAAAAACAAAAACAUAAAAAACAUUGUAAAUGAUGCCAUUUUCUGCCUAAGCCUCUCUUGAGUCCCAGCCAUGAUCAUGUUACUUGUUACAACAGAUCUGCUGGCAAACAAACUCUGAGGGCAACGCAUUGAGACACUGCAGACCUUUAAAUGUGAAGAAUUUAGUCCUAAACAUGUGUUUGUGGGCAUGUGCAAUAUCCACUCCUUUUAGAAUGUCUCAGACUGACCCCAAACAACCUUUUUAUGGAAUCCUACCCUCAAGGACUAGUAUUAGUUAUAUAAUUGCCCUACUAUUACCCUGUCUCUCAGGGUGUAAGUCUGCCUUUGAGACCAUUGUAGUAACUUAAAAUAUUUGUUAACCAGCAAGUAGACAGACUUAGGAUAAGCUCCUAUUCUAGGAGGCCAUAAAUUUUCCAUUGUACCCGUAAUGUCCAAUUUAACCCCUCAAUAUUUCUCUCAACAACUUUUUUUCCUAUCAAAUCUCAAUAGCAAAAACAAAGCAAAACAAACAAUAAUUGAGAGAAAGAAUUGAGAUAGUCUAACGAGAAUACUUCUCUGAAGUUUUAUUACAAUUCUAGCUAGGAAAAAAAUGUAUAUAUAUGGAUAUGUGGUGCUGUUAGGAUCUCUGUGGCAUGUGAAUUAGAGAGCACUUAUAAGAGAGCUUUGUGAGGUGUACCUGGGGAGGAACGUUUGGAUUAAAUAAUAAAGAAAGAUAACACAUUGA